CUUUUAAUUCUGCAGAGUUGGCAGAGCCUAGCUGAAAAGGGCUAUAUUGUUGUUCGUUUCAGUUUCAAAUUAUUGGGCUUUGGUGGGCCCUUUCUUUCCCUCCCCCAUUAAAGUUGGCGAAAUUAAUGUUUUGGUUUACCUUUAUUGGGCUUUGGUGGGCCCUUUCUUUCCCUCCCCCAUUAAAGUUGGCGAAAUUAAUGUUUUGGUUUACCUUUAGGGGGAGGCCUAUACUAAGGCUUAUAUAUAUAUAGCACUGAUUUUGUUGGUGCUGCUUGCUGCUCUUCAUUUAAAAUGUCGUCCACGUGAAACUAAAGAGGGGGCUUUAGCCAUAAAGCCACAAACUGAAUCAAUGGAUAAUGGUUUGUAAAAUACAGCUGCAUUAAUGAAUAUAUAUUCACUUCCCAUUUAGGGCUGGGCUUUUUGGGCCUUCUUCUUCCUUUUCUUUUUCUUCUCUAGAGAAAGCCUUUCUCGGCCUCACAGUUAUGGUAGAAUUGACUGAGGGAGACUGGAGAGGAACUACGAUGACUGUUGGCUACUACUAAGGGUGAAUACUAUUUUUUUGUUUCUCUAUCGAAUUUUGUUAAAUAAUAAAUAGUUUCAUGUAUUCCCAAAAUUUGUAGUUAACAACCUAAUAGGUAAUUUUUUUAAUCAUUAUUUGUUCGAAAAAGUUGACAUCCCUAGUUCUCGUAGUAGGAAAUUGAAAGUAUAUCGAACAAGG
rnacentral:lncRNA from 1 species